rnacentral:rRNA from 1 species
GCCUGCCUAUCAGCCGCAGGGUUUUCAAUUUAAGAACAAAAGCCUGAAACAAAAAUUUAUUAGAGAAGAUUAAUAGUUAAAGUAAAUUGAUUGAAAUAAUUUUAAGGCUUAGAUUAAUAGUACCGUAAGGGAACUUUGAAAUAAAAGAAAACAUUUUAUUAUAAAAGUAUUAAUAAUUUAAGUACCUUUUGUAUUAGGGUUAAUCUAAUUUAGAAUUUAUAUUACAAAUCCCGAAAGCAAAGGAUCUAAUUCGAUUUUAAUUUCCUGUGUUACCAUGAUUUAAAAAUUCGUUUUAGUGGUUAAAUGCUAGCCGACUUUGUUGAUAUCUGGCUGCCCUUGAAAUGAAUUUAGUUCAUUUUGUUUAUAAAUCUGAAAACAAUUCUUUGGAUUUUGAUUACAAAAAUAUAGGACGGGGGAUGAGCUCCUUCCUUAUUAGUAAACUUUAAUUUUAUUUUCCUUAUAUUAGGCUUUAAACUAGCUUUAAUAAAAUGUUAUAAUUAUUUGUUUUAACUAAGUAAUUUAUCUUGGUCUCUAACAACCCAGAGGGCUAUUUCGAAACAAAAGUACGUGAGAAAUAAUGAUUAAAUUAGUAGACUUAGUACAUAAAUUGAUUAAUUAGGAUAGAGCUAUUAACUAAUUUUUCUUUAACAAUUUCUUCUAAAGAAUUCGGCAAACAAAUUUUCGAAUGUUUAUCAAAAACAUUUCUUCCUCCAAAAGGAAGUAGGGCCUGCUCACUGAAUAUUAAAGAGCCGCGGUAUCCUGACUGUGCGAAGGUAGCAUAAUAAUUUGCCUCUUAAUUGGGGGCUGGUAUGAAUGGUCUAACGAGAAAUUAACUUUUUUGGGAGUAGUUUAGUUAAAUUUAACUUUUUAGUGAAAAGGCUAAAAUAUUAUAAAUAGACGAGAAGACCCUAUAGAGUUUUAUAUUUUGUUCAUUUACCUUUUAUUAUUCCUUUAAUUGUAAAUGAAGACAAUAUUUUGUUGGGGCGACAUUUAGAUAAGAGCAACUUUUUAUAUUAUAAACUCCUAUUGGAGAAUCUUUGAUCCUUCCUAUAGAUUAAAAGAAUAAGUUACCUUAGGGAUAACAGCGUAAUCUUCCUCGAGAGCUCGAAUCGACAGGAAGGUUUGCGACCUCGAUGUUGGACUAAAAUUAAACUAAGGUGCAGUAGUCUUAGAAUUAGGUCUGUUCGACCUAUAGACUUUUACACGAUCUGAGUUCAGACCGGCGUGAGCCAGGUCGGUUUCUAUCUUUUAUAUUUAUCUUUUUAACUUAGUACGAAAGGACCAGUUAGAAGUAAUCAUUACACACCAAGGAAUUUCAUUAAUUUUAACUAAAUAAAUUUGGCAGAUUAAUGUGACAGACUUAGAAUCUGGCUA